GACAGAGGGUGCAAACGUUGUUCGGAUUUACUGGGCGUAAAGCGCGUGUAGGCGGCUUUGCAAGUCGGAUGUGAAAGCCCACGGCUCAACCGUGGAAGUGCAUCCGAAACUGCAUGGCUUGAGUCUCGGAGAGGAAGGUGGAAUGCUUGGUGUAGAGGUGAAAUUCGUAGAUAUCAAGCAGAACACCUGCGGCGAAGGCGGCCUUCUGGACGAUGACUGACGCUGGAGACGCGAAAGCGUGGGGAGCAAACAGG
rnacentral:rRNA from 1 species